rnacentral:misc_RNA from 1 species
AGGAUAUUAUUCGGAACAUCUUCUACGAAGAUGAGGGAUAACGUGACAUAUUGUAUUCAGUUUUGAAUGUUUAUUAACAUUCUUUGUACAUUGAAAACUAGAUAAGUAAGUAAGAUUUUACCAAGCAAAACCGAGUGAAUAGAGUUUUAAAUAAGCUUGAA